rnacentral:lncRNA from 1 species
AUGUGGAGAGGAAUAGAUCUGCAGCAUUUUGAGGAUUGGGGUUUUUGUUUAAGACUGCAAUUGUGUGCUCUUUUUUCCAAGCCUGAAUGCUGCCAUGUCCUGCUUGUACCACAGAUAGUAAUGAAACUGCUUUUAUGGGUAAGAAUCAGGACUGAAUAUUAGAAACUAGCUUUGUUUUCAGAAAAAAAAUUUGUGUUUUGUUUUUGUGUUUGGGGUUUUCAGGUUUUUUUGUGUGUCUGGCAAUAAUGUUGCCCAAAGAAAAAUUUUUGGCUAAUGCAAAAUAACGGACAACCUUCUGUGGUCUGUGGAUUAUAGCACAAGCACAGAUUUUUCCAUCCUGUUACAAAAAUCACUCAAAAAGAAAUCUAUCCUCCCUGAAACAGAAGAGAAAAAACCUCCAGAUCCAGAUUAUUUAAAUAAUAGCAGUAACCCCAUAUUAGACUUUCCUUGUUUCCUAAUCUGCAUACACAAACCCAAAUUCUACUGCUGAAACAGUGAAUGUCAACCAGGUUGUAAGAGUGCAAAUGAUGGCAGAAUAUGGCAACUGAUUUGUAAUUUUUUCUGUUCUCAGUCUUCAGUGUAGCUGAUGCCAGAUAGCCUGCCUUGAUCUGUACUCGUACAGUGUCAGUUCAGAGUGUGGAAGUCAGAGGGAAACGCGCUUUAGUUCUCAUAUUCCGCUUUUGUUACAGCUUGCACAGGGGGCUAUAACCUGCACCUUUGCAACAGUUUUGUUUUUGUUUUUUUAAUUCAUGAGGGGAUUGGAACUGCAUUUAAUAUUUUUGUUCUGAGAAAUGAAGUAAGUAAUAUUAGAAUGAACAGAACAGGCACAAAACACAAAUGUCUGUCAUCUCCAUGGCUCCAGGAAUAUUUUAAUGGUGAAGAUUUCAUGGAACUAUAAAGCAGUUUCAUGUACCUCUCUUCAGUGUUUCUAAAAAACAAACAAAAAUACCUGCAGAAGAAAAAACAUUUUGUUUUUAAUUAAGACAGUAGAGUGUUUUUUACUGGGGUGUCAGCAAGUGCCGAUUUCAACGCAAGGGAAGGAGUAAGACCACAUGGCUGGGAACAAAGCAGGGGGGUGAGGCAGCUUCCCCAAUCAACAGAGGCAAGCUGUCAAACUGGCUCAAUUGUCAUGUGAAAUCUCAGCCAUAGCAAGCAUCUGGGC